AGUCGAGCGGACGGAUGGGAGCUUGCUCCCUGAAGUCAGCGGCGGACGGGUGAGUAACACGUGGGCAACCUGCCUGUAAGACUGGGAUAACUCCGGGAAACCGGGGCUAAUACCGGAUAACUCUUUUCCUCACAUGAGGAAAAGCUGAAAGAUGGUUUCGGCUAUCACUUACAGAUGGGCCCGCGGCGCAUUAGCUAGUUGGUGAGGUAACGGCUCACCAAGGCCACGAUGCGUAGCCGACCUGAGAGGGUGAUCGGCCCCACUGGGACUGAGACACGGCCCAGACUCCUACGGGAGGCAGCAGUAGGGAAUCUUCCGCAAUGGACGAAAGUCUGACGGAGCAACGCCGCGUGAGUGAUGAAGGUUUUCGGAUCGUAAAACUCUGUUGUCAGGGAAGAACAAGUACCGGAGUAACUGCCGGUACCUUGACGGUACCUGACCAGAAAGCCACGGCUAACUACGUGCCAGCAGCCGCGGUAAUACGUAGGUGGCAAGCGUUGUCCGGAAUUAUUGGGCGUAAAGCGCGCGCAGGCGGUUCCUUAAGUCUGAUGUGAAAGCCCCCGGCUCAACCGGGGAGGGUCAUUGGAAACUGGGGAACUUGAGUGCAGAAGAGAAGAGUGGAAUUCCACGUGUAGCGGUGAAAUGCGUAGAGAUGUGGAGGAACACCAGUGGCGAAGGCGACUCUUUGGUCUGUAACUGACGCUGAGGCGCGAAAGCGUGGGGAGCACACAGGAUUAGAUACCCUGGUAGUCCACGCCGUAAACGAUGAGUGCUAAGUGUUAGAGGGUUUCCGCCCUUUAGUGCUGCAGCAAACGCAUUAAGCACUCCGCCUGGGGAGUACGGCCGCAAGGCUGAAACUCAAAGGGAAUUUGACGGGGGGCCCGGCACAAGCGGUGGUAGCAUGGUGGGUUUAAAUUCGAAAGCAAGCGCGUAGACCCUUACCAGGUCUUGACAUCUCCUGACACCCUAGAGAUAGGG
rnacentral:rRNA from 1 species